GCAACUUUGGGCCCAAAGGUUUGAAUAAUUAAAUUCAAACCUAUAGUUUUUUUUAAUAUAAUUUUGGGACUCACAAUCCCAUUUUUAUAUUAUUUUUCUCUCUUCCUCUCACGUUGCUCGGCGUUUUCUCGCAAGGGGGGAUUAUUUUCUUUUUUCUUCAGAUUAUAUUGACAAAGAUAGUGGUGAAAAAGGAGUUGUGAAGGGGAACUUGUUAUUCAAGACACAAGGAGCGAGUCCGGCCGAGAAAGCACCAGAGGUGUAACUGUGGUGUAUGAGACACCAUCUUUUACGUUGCCUCUUAUUUUAGAUUAUACAAUGUAUCUUGUGCCAACUUAGGACAUAUCUUCUUUGUGAAGCAUGUAAACUCUAAUCCUUUUUAUUAAAAGUAUUUAUAUGACCAAGAGGAUUAUGUCUGUCCCUCUUGAUUUAUGAUCU